GAGAAAAUGGCGGCAGCUGUCGAAGCGGUGGCCGAGGUGGCGGCGACGGAGAUCAAAAUGGAGGAGGAGAGCGGCGCGGCAGGCGUGCCGAGUGGCAGCGGGGCUCCGGGCCCUAAGGGUGAAGGAGAACGACCUGCUCAGAAUGAGAAGAGGAAGGAGAAAAACAUAAAAAGAGGAGGCAAUCGCUUUGAGCCAUAUGCCAAUCCAACUAAAAGAUACAGAGCCUUCAUUACAAACAUACCUUUUGAUGUGAAGUGGCAGUCACUUAAAGACCUGGUUAAAGAAAAAGUUGGUGAGGUAACAUACGUGGAGCUCUUAAUGGACGCUGAAGGAAAGUCAAGGGGAUGUGCUGUUUUUGAAUUCAAGAUGGAAGAGAGCAUGAAAAAAGCCGCGGAAGUCCUAAACAAGCAUAGUCUAAGUGGAGGACCACUGAAAGUCAAAGAAGAUCCUGAUGGUGAACAUGCCAGGAGAGCAAUGCAAAAGGCUGGAAGACUUGGAAGCACAGUAUUUGUGGCAAACCUGGAUUAUAAAGUUGGCUGGAAGAAACUAAAGGAAGUAUUUAGUAUGGCUGGCGUGGUGGUCCGAGCAGACAUUCUUGAGGAUAAAGAUGGAAAAAGUCGUGGAAUAGGCACUGUUACUUUUGAACAGUCCAUUGAAGCCAUGCAAGCUAUAUCUAUGUUUAAUGGCCAGCUGCUAUUUGAUAGGCCAAUGCAUGUCAAGAUGGAUGAGAGGGCCUUACCAAAGGGAGAUUUCUUCCCUCCUGAGCGUCCACAGCAACUUCCCCAUGGCCUUGGUGGUAUUGGCAUGGGGUUAGGACCAGGAGGGCAACCCAUUGAUGCCAAUCACCUGAAUAAAGGGCAUUGGAAUGGGAAACAUAGGUCCCGCCGGAAUGGGAAUGGAAGGCAUAGGAUUUGUAAUAAAUAAAAUGGGAGAAAUGGAGGGGCCCUUUGGUGGUGGUAUGGAAAACAUGGGUCGAUUUGGAUCUGGGAUGAACAUGGGCAGGAUAAACGGUGGAGGUGGAGGCAGCGUCCCUAGGAUCGAGAGGAUGGGUCCUGGCAUUGACCACCUCGGGGGUGCCGGCAUGGAGCACAUGGGCGCAGGCCUCGGCCACGGCAUGGAUCUCGUGGGCUCUGAGAUCGAGCGCAUGGGCCUGGUCACGGACUGUAUGGGUUCCGUGGAGCGCAUGGGCUCUGGCAUCUAGCGCGUGGGCCCGCUGGGCCUCGACCACAUGGCCUCCAGCAUUGAGAGCAUGGGCCAGACCAUGGAGCGCAUUGGCUCUGGCGUGGAGCGCAUGGGUGCCGGCAUGGGCUUCGGCCUCGAGCACGUGGCCGCUCCCAUCGACCGUGUGGGCCAGACCAUUGAGCGCAUGGGCUCUGGCGUGGAGCGCAUGGGCCUGAGCAUGGAGCGCAUGGUGCCCGCAGGUAUGGGGGCUGGCCUGGAGCGCAUGGGCCCCGUGAUGGAUCGCAUGGCUACCAGCUUGGAGCGCAUGGGCGCCAACAACUUGGAGCGGAUGGGCCUGGAGCGCAUGGGUGCCAACAGCCUUGAGCGCAUGGGCCCUGCCAUGAGCCCGGCCCUGGGCGCUGGCAUCGAGCGCACGGGCCUGGCCUUGGGUGGCAGUGGCGGUGCCAGCUUUGACUGCGCCAUCGAGAUGGAGCGUGGCAACUUUGGAGGAAGCUUCGCAGGUUCCUUUGGUGGAGCUGGAGGCCAUGCUCCUGGGGUGGCCAGGAAGGCCUGCCAGAUAUUUGUGAGAAAUCUCCCAUUCGAUUUCACAUGGAAGAUGCUAAAGGACAAAUUCAACGAGUGCGGCCACGUGCUAUAUGCCGACAUCAAGAUUGAGAACAGGAAGUCCAAGGGGUGUGGUGUGGUUAAGUCCGAGUCACCAGAGGUGGCUGAGAGAGCUUGCCGGAUGAUGAAUGGCAUGAAGCUCAGUGGCUGAGAGACUGACGUUCUAAUCGAUAGAAAUGCUUAAGCAGUUGCCUUUUUUAAACAUCGAAACCAGACCUCUGAAUUUGUAUUUUUUCUUGUUAACAAUUUUAAUUUGUUGGCUGGAUGUAUAAAGAUGUUUAAAAAAUUCAGUUGCUUUUUGGGGUAAUUUAAAUUACUUUUUUAAUGACUGGGGUUCCAUUUGACUGUUUGCAUUGAGAUUGCAAUGUGCGCAAUUUUUUUUGUAGUUGUGGCAUCUUGUUGACAUCGGAUAUGACUUUGAUAAUAAAUACUGGUUCCUGAAAAAAAAAA